UACGGGGGGGGUAAGCGUUGUUCGGAAUUACUGGGCGUAAAGGGCUCGUAGGCGGCCAACUAAGUCAUACGUGAAAUCCCUCAGCUUAACUGGGGAACUGCGUGUGAUACUGGAUGGCUUGGAUUUGGGAGAGGGAUGCGGAAUUCCAGGUGUAGCGGUGAAAUGCGUAGAUAUCUGGAGGAACACCGGUGGCGAAGGCGGCGUUCUGGACUGCAACUGACACUGAGGAGCGAAAGCCAGGGGAGCAAACGGG
rnacentral:rRNA from 1 species